rnacentral:tRNA from 1 species
UGCAUUUUGGUGUAUGAUGCACAAGAAUUUUUGAUGUUCUUAGAGAUAGUUUAAUUCUGUCAAUUGUAA